rnacentral:rRNA from 1 species
UACGGCGAGUGAGCGGCAAAGCUCAAAUUUGAAAUCUGGCACCUUCGGUGUCCGAGUUGUAAUUUGAAGAAGGUAACUUUGGAGUUGGCUCUUGUCUAUGUUCCUUGGAACAGGACGUCACAGAGGGUGAGAAUCCCGUGCGAUGAGAUGCCCAAUUCUAUGUAAAGUGCUUUCGAAGAGUCGAGUUGUUUGGGAAUGCAGCUCUAAGUGGGUGGUAAAUUCCAUCUAAAGCUAAAUAUUGGCGAGAGACCGAUAGCGAACAAGUACAGUGAUGGAAAGAUGAAAAGAACUUUGAAAAGAGAGUGAAAAAGUACGUGAAAUUGUUGAAAGGGAAGGGCUUGAGAUCAGACUUGGUAUUUUGCGAUCCUUUCCUUCUUGGUUGGGUUCCUCGCAGCUUACUGGGCCAGCAUCGGUUUGGAUGGUAGGAUAAUGACUAAGGAAUGUGGCUCUACUUCGGUGGAGUGUUAUAGCCUUGGUUGAUACUGCCUGUCUAGACCGAGGACUGCGUCUUUUGACUAGGAUGUUGGCAUAAUGAUCUUA